GAGCAAACAGGAUUAGAUACCCUGGUAGUCCACGCCCUAGACGAUGUCAACUAGGUGUUGGGGAAGGAGACUUCUCUAGUACCGCAGCUAACGCGUGAAGUUGACCGCCUGGGGAGUACGGUCGCAAGAUUAAAACUCAAAGGAAUUGACGGGGACCCGCACAAGCGGUGGAUUAUGUGGAUUAAUUCGAUGCAACGCGAAAAACCUUACCUACCCUUGACAUGCCAGGAAGAUUUCAGAGAUGAGAUUGUGCCCGAAAGGGAACCUGGACACAGGUGCUGCAUGGCUGUCGUCAGCUCGUGUCGUGAGAUGUUGGGUUAAGUCCCGCAACGAGCGCAACCCUUGUCAUUAAUUGCCAUCAUUCAGUUGGGCACUUUAAUGAGACUGCCGGUGAUAAAUCCGGAGGAAGGUGGGGAUGACGUCAAGUCCUCAUGGCCCUUAUGGGUAGGGCUUCACACGUAAUACAAUGGUCGGCACAGAGGGUUGCCAACCCGCGAGGGGGUCCAAUCCCAGAAAGCCGAUCGUAGCCCGGAUUGUAGUCUGCAACUCGACUACAUGAAGUCGGAA
rnacentral:rRNA from 1 species